UUUUUUUUUUUUUUUUUUUUUAAUGUCAAGGAGCCAACUAGAAAUGAUAUCUCCGAAAAUAAUUCAAGUUCAUGUCCUCAGAUUGUGACAGGGUUCAUAAAGCAAUAGAAAUAAGCAUAUCUCUCAAGCACUUUACGUUACAACCAUUAAUAAAAGCCAGGAUACUAAGCCUCAGUUGUUUGAAACAACUUUUCGACGUCUGCAAUAGUGCUUCGAGCAUCCUCAAUCUCCUGGCCUUCUUGGUUUUCCUCCUCCAACUCAGUCAGAGUUGCGUUUAGCUCAGCUAAUGCAGACUCUAGGCGCUUCCGGCAAUCAGGAAUCAUCAUUCUUGACUCGGCUAGCACAUUUUCCUGUUGCUUGAGGUCAUAAGGGUCAGCUCCUUUCUCCUUCAUAUCAGCAGUUUUAGCAGCUUCUCUCUCAACUUCUUUCUCAUAUGAAUGCAAUUCCUUCAUUAUGCGUUUGCAUGUGCUCGUUUUUUUUUUCAAGUUUCUAACUGUUGCCAUUUUAACCUUUUGAUCCGGGAAAGGAGAAGUUUUGCGUAUCAACAACCAACAAGACUAGAGGAAAUUGCUAGCGUUAUAAAUUUGGAAACUACUGAAUUUUAUGCCUAACAUACAAGAAUGCUUAUAACUAAAUGUGAGGCUUUCUACCAAACGGUUGUGGCUCAGUUGGCGGCGCAGCCUGGGUAAGUGGGAAGAGCUUUCGGAUUCGAUCCUCACUAAACACACCAUUUGGGAGGGGUAAAGAGCCUUAACUGUGACUACACUCCGAAUCCGAAUUAGUCAGGGCCCAAUGCGGUCGCCGGAAAUCGGAUGAUUUAAACCAAAAAAAAAAAUUUGAGGCUUUCUGAACUUUUGAAAGGCCUAUUGAUCACGUCAUGAUACCGUCGACAAUUUUUCCAUUAUAAAAAUAAGAAACUGAUACUUUAUUGCAUGAAGCACAACUGCACAAGAUUUACAAGGACACAAGAGUUACAUUUACAUGGACUAUUGUCCUCAACAGCUCAACUUCAUGGAGCGUAACCCUUGAUGAUGCUCUCUCUUGCUUGCAUAGGGUACACGUACGUAACCCAUUCACACAGUUUUAUUCUUCUUAUUACUUUCAGCUUACUUAAUAGUAUCACUUAGUCUAUGCUUUUAGGUGUUGUGAGGCUUGGUCGGCUUCACUUGCCACCGCCACCGCCGCCACGGCCUUGGCCUCCUCCUCCUCCCCAAUGUCCUCCACCACCGUGGCCUCCUCCCCCUCCUCCCCAAUGUCCUCCACCACCGUGGCCUCCUCCUCCUCCUCCCCAAUGUCCUCCACCACCAUGGCCUCCUCCUCCUCCUCCCCAGUGUCCUCCACCGCCAUACUUUUCAUCACCUACUUGUGAGUUUGAUUGUUUAUCUGCUGCCUCCACUGCGCAUGCACAAUCAACACGCAUUAACUUGAGUUACGUACCAUAUUUUUUGUUAACCCUGUAAUUGAGCGGAUAAUAUAUCCACAUAUAUUUGAUAUAUAAAAUGAAAUUGGAAAGAAUUAAAGAAAACGAAUAUUGAUGGGUCUACUAACAAUUUUCGGGCAUGGCAUUAGCGUUAGUCUCAUAAGGGUUGCGAUUCGUUUCCUUUGCUGCAUCCACUUCUGCACGGAUUAAUUAAAAAGUUUUCGUAAAUGAGUUCAAAACUUAAUCAAAGCUUUUUAAAUUGGAUGCAUGCAUGCAUGUCUCCUUAUUUCAUAAUAUGACACGUGUCUAUUUAUUUCAUGUAGCUCUACACAAAUGUAUACACGAUAGUAAGCCGUGGAAUCAGAUUGAAGAAACUCAUUUUGGCAAGUCAUUAAAUAUUACUUCUGAAACUAGGAAUUUACGAGGAUCAAAUAAUUAAAACAUAUCUCAAAAUUGAACGCCAAAAUAAAUGGGUAAAUAUUCCUAGUCUUUUCAAUUUGAUUUUGGUGGACAUGUCAGUGGUAUUACCUUGAACGCAUUCUGUAUUUUUAUUUCAAAAGAGUACAUUUAGUUUAAAAGUUUAUGAGAAAGAUAAUUGAAAAGAAAAGAAAAGAAAAUUCUUUUCUUUUAUUUGCUUUCACCUUUGGAUGUCGCGGCAGCCAAGAUGGAAGGGAUGGGAAGGACAACGGCGAAAAGAAGAACAAGCAAAAGCAAAUUAACACUCCUCAUAUUCAUUUGCCUUACGAAGACAAAUACUAAGUACUAGAAAUAGAUUUUAAGAAGGAUGAGAAUAUGGGGGCUUCCUUAGCAAGUAUUUAUAGAGCUGGAACGAAACAAAAACCAUUAGCCAUAUACGGCGCCGUUUACUAGUUGUCUGUUGAAGAAUUAGCUCCUUCUGUAGACUUUCAAAGCCUAUCUCCUUUUCUUUGACAAAAGUCAAAAAUGAACAAAGCUACUACGUACGUGGACGUAUUUGAGCUGAGGAGUGACAGAAAGUGGUGCUACUCUGAAGCCACGCGUCGAAUACACUUGGACUCUUAAUAACGCUACAGCCGCACCAAAAUUUUGUUUUGUUUCAUUUCAUGAAAAUUUCAACGAAAAAAAUAGAUGAGAACCCAUUCAGCAGGUAAUUGUAUUUUUCCCUCGUCUGUUAUAUCGGAUCCCAACUUUCUGCCACGCUUAACAACCAGCGUUCACUCCAGUUUCAUACAUAGCUGAAUAACUUCGGAAAUUCUAUCUUUUUUUAUGGGUAGAAGCCCUUCAAAUCUAUUAAUGAACUCACAUGCCACAUUACUUGACAUACAAUUAAACUACGUAUUUAUAAUGAUGCCUUUAGCCCAAAUAUACAUUUACAAUUAAAAAUCUAGUGAAACUUUCUAAAUGAUCAGCUCUAUGAUGGUCUGGUCUAAAUAUCCAACUUAAGAGUAAGUUGAAUCUAUUUUAAAAUAUUUUGGUGGCUCCAUGAACUUUUCCCGAGAGUGAGAAUUUUUUUUCAUAUAUAAUUAAAUAAUUUCUGGAGUUAUUUAUUGAUUUUUUUUAUAUGUUACAUAAAUGAAAAUUAAAUCUCUCGCCAACCCCAAUUGAGCACGAGCCAGGUUAAUAAAUCAAAUGAUUAAUAUUUAAUUAUAAUAAGUGAACAAAUGUUAUAAAUUUAUAAGUAAAUGUUGCUAUUUGAAAUAAAGUCUGUCAAAAAAUUAAUAGAAACACACUCAAAACAACGUAGCUUUGGGUGAGUUUAUUUUUUUAUUAUUUAAAUCUAAAACAACAUUAUUUUGAAUGUGUUUAUGUCAGUAUUUUAUCAGACUUUAAUUCUCUAAAUAUUUCUUUUUUGAAAGUUCGUGAAUUUUGGGAGACUAUUUUAUCACCAUCUUGUAACAAUUAAAUACACGAUUUUUUUCAACCAUCGUCUAUAUAUAGUGUUGUUUGAAAAUGAUAUUAAGAUAGCAUUUGUUUCCUUUAUUGGAAUAAGUCUAUAGAUACAGAGUCUGAAAACGAUCUUUGUAACUUGAAUCCGUGCAUCAGCUGCUGCCACAGCCAAAGAGGUGAUAUUCCUUAAUCAAUAACCUAGAUGUAGCAAUCACUCAUAUUUGAUUUAUUGUUUAGUUUUUAUUAAUAUUGUUUGAUUCUUUGUCAAGCCUUAUACUAAGAUACAAACUUAAAAGUUGAGAAUUGUAUUAAAUUUAUAUUAUUAGCUCUAUAAUUAUUCUCAAUCGAUGUAAGUAUUUUUCUCCAUCAAAUUUUACCUUAAAACUUCUAAUGGUUUUAAUGUCUACUAAUUUUCCAAAUUUCAGAAAUUAUCACUGUCAGAUUUGAUUUAGUCAUGAACGAUCUUGGUUAAUUUUGUAGCCUAUGUUUUCAUUUUGUGAGUACAGAUGUCAUUUUGCAGCCCUUGUUUCCAAUUUUAUGUUGGGACUACAGGUGUAAUGCAUAUUCGGUUGGUUUGAACUUUGAACCUAAAAACAAAUUAUAAAAUGCACAAAAUAAAAUGUUUUUGAUAAAAAUAAAGCUAAAAUAAGUUAUACAUGUUUUCUGUAGACUACAAAUUAUAAAAUACACAAAUUUUGACAAUAAUAAAAUUAAAAUAAGUUAUACACAUUUUCUCAUAGUUCAUUGGCAACCUAUGUGCAUGGGUUCGAAUCCCAACUAUGACAAGAUUCGAACCUUCUUGCUAGUAGGGACUAUCUGUCUCCAUGCAUUCAGAUAUGAUUGUAAAUACCAGUAAAAAACUCCAAUUGUAAUACGUCAGUAUAUAUAAAAACAACUAUAAAAUAAAUGAUAAAACAAUAUGCUAGGUGUUCUCGAAAGCAUAUUAAGUAAAAUAUAUUUUUCUAUCAUCUUCUUCUUCACUCCCACCACAUCCCACCUCCAACUCUCAUUUUCUUCCUCUUUCUCUCUCACCAGAAUAUCUUUUCCCCAACUCCCAUCUUCUUUUUCUUUUUCUUCUUUCUCUCUCUCUCUCUCUCUCUCUCUCUCUCUCUCUCUCUCUCUCUCUCUCUCUCUCUCUCUCUCUCUCUCUCUCUCUCUCUCUCUCUCUCUCUCUCUCUCUCUCUCUCUCUCUCUCUCGUCUUUUAGUUAUGAAAUUAGUUUUGUUAAACUUUGAGAAUCUAUUAUAUGGUUCCAUAUGCUUUUAUCUUUUCUCCUUUGACAAUUAGAGCAAUAAUAUUGCUCGAAUCAGAAAAUUGAACCCAAUUCAUUGAUGGGUGUGAAGAGAAAAAAGAGCCAGUGAAAAGAGAAGAAAAAGAAAAGGGCAAUAUCAACAUAGUUGAGUAUUUGCAUUCACUUGAAGCUUGGUUUUUGCUCUGUUCUGAAAUAGGGCCCUCUGCCACAAUAUCAUUAUGUCUAAGGUCUUUAUUUUCCUGAGGAAGCUUAGUUCAAUUCCAUUAACUUAGCAUUUGAUGCUUUAUUUUCUUGUUCAACAAUAUUGCUGAAAUCAAGCUUUAAAGCAUCAUAUAAUUGUUCAAAAGUUAGCACUGAAUCUAACUUUUAUUGAGCACAUGCAUAUGGCUAGCAAAUUUUUCACUGCAAUUGCAUGUGCUAGCAUGAAAUUUCUUACUGUUCACCAAAUUCACACUGAAGCCAUUAAAAUUGAAAAAUGGAUAAGAUUUUUCCAUGCAUUCAUAUUGUAAGCUUCACUUAUAAAUAGAGAAGCAAACCAUCCAAAAAAAAUUGUGAGAUCUAAGAGCAUAACAAAUGAGCUCUUCAAGAGUGUAGAUAGAGUAUUUCCUUGGGUGCUAAGGGGAUCCAUUUGAGUGUAUUGGGUUUUGAGAGUUUUUCCUAAUUUUUUAAAAUUCCCAUCCAUUAGUAAAAUUAUCUUCCAGUCUUCGCCCGUAGACGUAGGCUUUAUGCUGAACCAUGUAAAUUAUUGUGCCUUAUUUUUCUUUGCAUUUAUUUGUCAUGUUUAUAUUUCACCAGAAGUCAACAAUCACUAUAGUAUUGGUAAUUGCUUAACCCGUGCUUCCGCAACAAUUGGUAUUAGAGCUGGAGGUUCGUGCUUGGGUAUACGACACUAUUUAUAUAUACGAUACUGUUGACGUAUAUGAUACUGUUCGUGCAUACAGUGGAGAUGGCAAUUUUUACUUGGGAGACAACUUAUUGUAAGUAGUGUGUAUUUAUGCAUGUCUAGGAAAGUUCUAUCAAUAAGGCGAUAAGUGCCUAAAGAAUAUGGGUUUAAGUGGGACCGUUAUGACCCCUCUAUUCUCCUGAGAACUUUUCUGGUGCAUUUAUUCACACGAAAUUAAUAUAAUGGAGGCUGUUUUCUAAGUGUAAAUAGUUGUUGAAGACAUUGGUCAUUUGGAUUAAGAAGGAUGGCAGAGGCAUCGUCGUUGUCCUCAUCAGCGAAGACUACUGUGACUAAUGCGAAGUUUGAAGUGGAAACAUUCAAUUGUACCAGUAAUUUUGGUAUGUGGCAAUGUGAGGUAUUGGAUGUCUUAUGUCAGCAAGAAUUUGACGUCGCUUUUGAAGAAAAGCCUGACAAGAUGGAUGACAAGGAGUGGAAAAAGAUCAAUAGACAAUCAUGUGGUACUAUUUGUUUAUGUCUGGCUAAAGAUCAGAAGUACUAUGUCACGAGGGAGACAUCAGCAAAAAAAUUGUAGGAGACGCUUGAAGAAAGGUACAUCAAGAAAAGCUUUGAAAAUAAGCUUUAUAUGAAGAAAAAACUCUAUCAAUUCACAUAUGCACCUAAUGUGUCGAUGAAUGACCAUGUGAACUCAUUCAACAAGAUAUUAGCGGGUUUGCUAAAUUUGGAUGAGAAAUUUAAAGAUGAAGAUAAGACAUUAUUGUUGUUGAAUUCCCUUCCUGAUGAAUAUGAGCAUUUCACCACCACUUUGUUUCAUAGGAAGGACAAUGUCAUAUUCGAUACUGUAUGUAGUGCGUUUUACAACACUGAGAUCAGAAAGAAAGACAGAAAGGAUUACUGAGAUACAGUUGCAGAAGCAUUGACAGCGAGGGGUCAUUCAUAAAGCUACAAACUUGAAAAAAGGAGCAAGUUGUUGGUUAAUUUCUAUAAGCAAUUAUUAUCAAUGCCAAUGUGCAAGUAUACACAACAAGUAAUAAAGUGAUGAGUAUUUAAGAUCGUCUCCACAGGGAUUGAUGUUACUCAAAAUGCUAAAGCAAAUCACAAUAAUGCAAAUCAAUUAAGGACCGAAACAAACAAUUGUCGAAUAAUUCUAUGUAACUAAUAAUUGUGAGAGAUGAAAAUAAAACAAUACUGUAAUGAAAUAAACUGAGUUGAAUGUGUCUAAGAUUCAAUUGAGAAUAUAGUAGUUGAAUGAUCAAACUCUCCUAAUGGGAUGACUGUUGUUUACCAAAUUAAUGCUAGUUGUUACAAUAAGUGCUGCAGUAAUGGGUAGAAUAAAUUUUCAUCCGCAGCUAUCGCAUGUUGGAAAUUUCAUACCUUUAAAUCUACUAACAAUGACCAGUUGCUCAUAUAUUUAUAGUAUGCCAUUUUAACCUGUAAUCUCUCUACCCUACAAGGUGAACACCUAUGUCUAGAGUGUCACAAAUCUUAACUUCAAGUAUUGCCCUAAGGUGAACAUCUAUGUUUAGAGUGUCACAAAUCUUAACUUCAAGUAUUGCCCUUAUGGGAUUCAAGAUAACCUAAUUCAGGAAACUCGACUUAAGAACAAGUAAUACUCUAAUAAUGCCCGCUAAGACAUGCCCUUUUGCUGCUCUGUCUUAACUCUCGGAAUACAUCAAAUCAAUUAAAGGAAAAAGAUAAAUAUAAGUUGAGCACAAUGAAAAUCAAAGUCAAGUAAUUCUGCACAAUUGUCCAAUGUUGCCGAAACAACACUCUUCAAUUAUGAUCUUCUUCUCCUUCGUUAAUUCUAAUUACUCUAAUGAUAAUUCCUUGCCGCCCUUCUAUGUGGUGCACGCCUCCUUUUUAUAAUGCAAAUUAGGUUAAAACCAAAGCCCAUGAGCGUGCAUGUGUUUAAAUUAGGAAACAUGCAGAUCGCGACUUUAUGGCUGACUCGCGCCUAAAUUUUCUCCCGCACUGCUCCCAAAUUGCUACAGCACUGGUUGCUCUAAUAGCCGAUACAACACUGUUUUAUUCCCGAUUGUGCUUUACUUCUUUUAUGGCCAUCUUCCUUCUUUCUCUUGCUCUUCUAAUUCCUCAACAUCUUCUCAUGAAUUUAAAACCUGUUUUUAGCACAAAUUACUAUGAUUUAAUCAAAACUUAUUAAAACUCAACUAAAAUGAAUGUUUAUACAAAAGGUACCCAAAAUGUAACAAAAACACCUUAUUUGUUCUCUAAAUGACCUUGAUUCAAGUCUAGAAUUGAUGUAAUAACUCUCAUUUCCUAGAGUUAUCACAAGUCUAAAGGGAGAUUUGCCAAAGAUGAUUUUUUUUUUAUCGCGAGAAACGACAUUGGAAAAAUAAUUAUCUUAAGUUAAAAAAAGGCAAGGUUAUUUCUGAUACAUGUGUAGCGGAACAUAAACUUUAGUUUGGUAGGCAUGGCGUUGACAUGUCACUCAGAUGAAUGGAUUUUGGAUUUGGGUUAUACUUAUCAUAUGUGUCCUAAUAAGGGCUGGUUUUUUAGCUUCAAAGAGCUGGAUGGUGGAGUUGUCUUUAUGGGUGAUGACAAUGCCUGUAAAAUCAUGGGAAUAGGUACAAUCCAAUUGAAGAAUCAUGACGGCUCAAUCCAAGUCUUGAUAGAUAUUUGCUACAUACCAAAUUUGAAGAAAAAUCUCAUCUCAUGAGGAAUCCUAGAAUCUAAAGGGCUUUCAAUCACUCUGAGAGAUGGAUUUUUAAAAGUAAUAGCUGGUGCACUGACGGUGAUAAAAAACACAAGAAGAAAUAACUUGUAGUAUUUCCAAGGAAGUACAAUUAUUGAAUCAACAUCAACAGUUUUGGAAAAGAUGCAGAUUUAGAAGCAACCAAGUUGUGGCGUAUAUGCUGGGACAUGCUGGUGAAAAAGUUUUGCAGACUUUGAUAAAGUAAGGUUUAUUGAAAUGUGCAAAUUCUUCCAAAUUGAAAAUUUUUAAAUAUUGUGUUUUGAGCAAGCAGACAAAGGUAAAGUUUAGUUCAACAAUUCACGAUACGCAAGGAAUUCUUGACUGUGUUCACCGUGAUGUGUGAGGACUUACCAAAACAGCUUCUUUGAGAGGUAUGCACUAUUUUGUUACUUUUGUUGAUGAUUAUUCAAGAAAAGUAUGGGUGUAUUUGAUUAAGAACAAGAAUGAAGUCUUAGGCACAUUUCUAAAUGGAAGAAAAUAGUCGAGACUUAAAUUGAUUGAAAGGCCAAAAGACUUCGCUCAGAUAAUGGUGGUAAGUAUAAGAAUGAUCCAUUUAUACAAUGUGCCGAGAUGAGGGCAUUGUGCGACACUUUACUGUUCGAGAUACACCACAGUAAAAUGGGGUUGCAGAACCCAUGAACCAAACUAUACUAGAGAAAGUUCGGUGUAUAUUGUCCAAUGCUGGACUGGGCAAAGAGUUUUGGGCUGAGGCAGUUGUAUAUGUGUGCCAUCUGAUCAAUAGUUUGUCAUUAUCUGCAAUUGAGGGUAAAAACCCAUGGAGAUGUGGACUGGUAAACUUGAUAAUGAUUAUGAUUCUUUAUAUGUUUUACCUAUUAUUAUUUAAAAGAAUCUAAGUUAGGCCCAAGAGUAAAGAAAUCAUUGUUCAUAGGUAUAACUGGUGGAGUAAAAAGAUAUCGUCUCUGGAGUCCUGUUAUGAAGAUGAUUAUUUUUAGUAGAGAUGUGACUUUUGAUGAAUCAACCAUAUUGAAAUUAAAAGAUUCUCAAGAGGAUGACAAGAGCCGCAAGUGGAGUUUGAAGGUUAAAGAUAAUCCAGUCGGUGUUGAGGAGACAGAUAGUGAUUCUCCAUUGACCGAAGAUGAUAAAGAGGUUUUGACUUAGGAACCUUCACAACAACAAGAUUCAUUUGCAUAUAGAAGGCCGUGAAGAGAGAUUCGCAAACUUACACGCUUUGUUGAUAUGGUGGUUGAUUAACACUAAAAAGUGUACGUGUAAUAAGGAUAAAAUUAUUAGUUUUCACUAAAAGUGUUGAUUAAUGCGCUCAUAACUUAUAAAUUAUAUGAAUGCUCCCCAAAUAAAUUUUUGUGUUAAAUUAAUUCGCAAUAUGUUAAUUUUAUCUUGUAAAUGUUUUUCAAGAAUAGAAAUGGAGUUGAACCUAAAAGCAGAAACAAAGAAGAAUUACUUGAGCCACUUAAAAUGUAUUAUUGAGGAGAUGUAAUUAACAAAUAUUAAAAUAAAAAUAAAAAAUAAUUAAAAAAUAAGUGGGCAAUCAUGUGUUCCUGACCAUCACACUUCUCAACAUUCAUUUAUAUUAUAAAAAUAAAAUAAUUGAAUAAAAAAAUUAAAUAAGAAUAAAAAGAAUGAAGUGGAGGCAAUUGUUGCCUAUAAAAGCCAACGAAGAGGAAAAAAAGCCAAUGGAGAGAGCUGAGUCGAGACGUGAGAUAAGAGAGCGAAGUUGAGGAAUUGUGUCUUUUUUUUCUUUUGUUGUGCAAUCAACUUCUUUGUAAUAUAUUUCAAAAGUUUGUCAAAUAAAAAUUUUUUUUUAUUUUCUUUCAAUAUAAGUGACUAAUUUUACUAAGCUGAAGUGAAGGGUGAAGCUCGAAGUUUCAAAUCAUAAAAUUAAUUACUUUCUCAAGUGAGUUUUAAGUUUAUUUUAUUCUUUUUUGGUUAUUUUUAUGUCAUGUUAAUUUAUAAAUUUCUUUAGAUCUAUAUGGUAUUUUGACAUAAUGCCGACACAUUAAUAUAGUGUGGGACAUUAGGUACUUGAUUUCAUAUUUAUACACACACAUAGCUAGUUAAGAAUUAAAUGAUAUAAUAAUUAACUGGUAAAAGUGAGGCAAAAUGUAAAAAUGAGAGAGUAUUAAAAUUAUAGUUUGAGUAACUGAGAGUGGAUCCCGUAACGUUAACAUAUUUUUAAAUUGAUUUCUAGUUAUUUUUUACUCGCAAUUAAUUUUCUUUGUUUUAAAUUAACAACUAGAUUUUAAAUUUCUUAUGGUUCGACCCCGGACUCACCAUGUUAUAUUACAACUAGACACUCUUAUACUUGAGAGUAAUAACACUUUUGAGACGUGUCAGUGACCUAUGCAAUUUCAGUUGUAGAUGGUAAUGUUUCUUCCACUUACAGAGAAGCAAUAAGUAGCCUUGAAAGUGUAUUGUGGAAGCUAGUAAUGGAUGAGGAAAUGCAGUCUCUUCAUAAAAAUAGAACUUAGGGGUUAGUUACACUGCCCAAGGAAAAGAAGGCAAUUGAGUGAAAAUGGGUGCAAAUGGGUAUAUCUAAAGAAGGAAGAAUUUCCUUAUAAGAAUGAAAUUCGAUACAAGGUUAUAUUGGUAGCGAAGGGUUACGCUUAGAAAGAAGGAAUAGACUAAAAUGAAGUAUUUUCUCCAGUUGUGAAACACUCAUAUAUUUGAAUUUUGCUAGCCAUGGUUGCGCAAUUUAAUCUUAAACUAGUUCUGCUUAAUGUAAAAAUUGUAUUUUUACAUGGUGAUUUGGAAGAGAAAAUCUAUAUGACUCAACCAAAUGGAUUCAAUAUUACUAGAAAAGAAAAUUGGGUUUGCAAAUUGAUAAAGUCACUUUAUGAGUUGAAACAAUUCUUAAAACAAUCUCUGAAGCAAUGAUACAAGCGAUUUGAUCAGUUUAUGAAAGGAUAAAGGUACACAAGAAAUAAAUUUGACUAUUGUGUGUAUUUUCACAAGUUACAAGAAGAAUAUUUUAUAUGAUAUGCUAAUAGCAUCCAAGAGAAAAGAUGAGAUUGAGAAGUUAAAGACUCAACUCAAUUAAGAAUUUGAGAUGAAAGGUCUGGGUAAAGUUAAGAAAAUUCUUGGCAUGGAGAUAUGCAGAGAUGGAGCUCGUGGCAAAGUUAGCUUAUCUCAGAAGUAAUAUUUGAAUAAGGUACUACAACAAUUUAGCAUGACAGAGCAGAUAAAACCUGUGACACCCCAUUGGCUUCUUAUUUUAAGCUUUCGGCACAACAAUCUCCUUCGACAAAUGCAUAAUGAGAAUAGAUGUUACAAGUUCCAUAUUCAAAUGCAGUGGGUAGCUUGAUGUAUGCAAUGGUGUGUACAAGACCUCACAUUUCACAUGCAGUUGGUAUAGUGAGUAGAUAUAUGCAUAAUCCUGGUAAAGGACAUUGACAAGCUGUGAAAUAGAUUCUACGGUACAUUUAGAAGAUCGUGGAUGUUAGUUUACUAUUUAAGCAAGAUGAUACACUUGGUCAAGGUGUGAUUAGGUAUGUCAACUCUGAUUAUGCUGGUGAUUUAGAAAAACGAAGGUCAACAACCGUAUAUGUUUUUACUUUUGCUAGAGGGCCAAUUAGUUAGAAGUCUACACUACAAUCUACAGUUGCACCGUCAACCACAGAGGCCAAGUACAUGGAUAUUACAGAGGUUGUUAAAGAGGUUAUUUGGUUUCAAGACUUUCUUGAAAACUUGGGAUUGGUACAGGAGCACAUUAAUGUAUAUUGCGACAAUCAACGACAGUCAAAAUGCUAUUCACUUAGUAAAGAACCAAGUUUAUCAUGCACGCACGAAGUAUAUCGAUGUACGAUUUCACUUUGUGCAAGAAAUUGUUGAUGAGUGAAAGAUUCUUCUUCAAAAAAUCAAGACUGAAAAGAAUCCCACAAAUAUGUUGACCAAGGUGGUGACAACGAUCAAAUUUCAACAUUGUCUAAAGUUGAUCAAUAUCCUGCAAGUUUAAAAUAGUGAGAAAAGUAGAGAUUGGAGGAUGAUUUGAUAUAUAGGGAGUUUAGUAUUCAACUCAUAUUUGCAUAAAUUUUCGCCGAGGUUGAGAAUUGGUAAAAAUUUAGCACCAAAUCCAACUUUUGUUGACCACAUGCAUAUGGCUAGCAACUUUUUGACUGCAAUUGCAUGUGCUAGCAUUAAAUUUCUUACUCUUCACCAAAGUCACACUGAAGCCAUUAAAAUUGAAAAAUGGGUAAGAUUUUUCAAUGCAUUCAUAUUGUAAGCUUCAUUUAUAAAUAGAGAAGUAGACCAUCAAAAAAAAAUUGUGAGAUCUAAGAGUAUGGUAAGUGAGCUCUUCAAGAGUGUAGAGAGAGUAUUUCAUUGGGUGUUAAAGAGAUCCAUUUGGGUGUAUUGGGUAUUGAAUUUUGAGAGUUUUUUCCAAUUUUGUAAAUUCCCAUUCAUUAGUAAAAUUAUCUUCCAAUUUUUACCUUUAGAUGUAGGCUUUAUGUCAAAUCACGUAAAUUAUUGUGUCAUAUUUUUCUUUACAUUUAUUUAUCACGUUUAUAUUUCAUCAAAAGUUGUAGUGACCUUGGUAAUUGCUUAACCGGUGCUUCCGUAACAAUAAUUGGCUUUCAGAACGCCCCCGUCUUUCUGCAAUUCCUUACUCUACAAACGCCCAGUUUUGGAACCAAGCAGCAUUUACCACAAUUUAUGACAAGAUUUAGAGUACCCUCACUUAUUGAUGAUAGCAUCCAUCGAAGCAAUGUUUGAUCUUGUGAUCUCCAAUUUUGAUAUUCUGGAUUAUCAAUUUUCUGAAUAGAUCCAUCAGCUCCAACUUGAGUGAACUGUUCUUCAGGUGUUAGUUUUUUUCCAGUGAUGUAGCCUUCCAAUCGAUUGUCUCUUAUGGAAGCUAAAACUUGAAAACGCCAAAGUAGAUAGUUCGAUCGAUCUAGUUUAAUUGGAGUGUUGAAAGAAAAAUUUAUUUGACUUUGUUGAUUUGUUUGCUGAGUACUAGAGCUUGCUCUUACUGGCUCUGAUACUAUGUUUGAAAGUUGAAUCGUGACUGUAAAAGUUGUUUGGGAGCUAAGAAAAUAAUAAUAAGAUUUGCUUGGAAACUAUUGACUUUUAUUGAAUCUCACAUUAUUACUUACAAAUACAAUCACAACCAUAUUUAUACUAACUUACAUAUCUCAACAGAAUUAAAUCUUUACUAACAAUUGAAUAACAGAACGUAAAACAUGAUUAACAGAUUUGCUGAGCUGGCUUCUUUGCUUAACUAACUGCUGACUCAUCAUUGACACACACGUGGUCAAUAUGCAACUCCCUUUUGUACACUGUGAGCUUCCUCAACAUGUACUUAAUUGUCACUGUAAUUCAAUAGCUCUCAAUCGAGCAUCACUGCAACGCUUUUCUCCGUCGCUAUCCGAAAAACUUUUGAUGCUCUACUAUACAUCUUAUUCUUUCUUGUACGCCAUUUAAAAUUCUGGGUCAUCUUGUGACCUCUUACAGUUCUAUUCAUGUGCCUUAUAAAAAGCUCUACUGAUACAAUGUCUUUCCUUUAAAAAUUGAAGCUGUGAAGCUGUACAUAUCUUCAUAUUCCUUUGAUGCACUGAUCACUACUUAUCAAUCUAGAGACAAGAAGAGUGCGAAGAGCAAGCAAAUUAAUUUACAGUAGAGAUUUUCAAGCAAUGAUGAAUAGAACCCAAAAGAAGAAGAGUGGAGAGAGGGGGCUAGCCAUUAGCCAAGCUACAGAAAAGAAAUGGCGAUCGACUGUGGAUCAAGUUAAGGCCUCGGAGAGGAUUUUUGAUGUUUGGAGAACUUUAGAAAAGAAAUUUGGUGUGCAAUUUGAAGCCAUGGUUCUUCAACUUAGAUAUGAGUUAAAUACUCUUAGGAAGGAAUCAAUGAGUAUUGAAGAUUACUGCAUCAAAAUGAAAAUUGUAGCAGAUAAACUUGCUAGUGCUGGAAGUCCUAUAACAGUGAAAGAUCUCAUGCUGACAAUUCUUAAUAGCUUAGGAGCAGGCUAUCGUGAUAUUGCUACCUUUAUAAUUGAUUAAAAAAUGGACUAUGAUGAUGCUUAUGCAUUAUAUUAGCUCUUGAAACCAGGCUUGAACUAGAGCAGAAUGAUAAAAGCAUGUUUAAUGCAAAUUAUGCUUAUACAAAUGCCUAUUAUCCAAGGGCAUUCUAUGCUCAAUCAAGAAAUAAUUUUAGAAGAGGAGGAUAUGCUGGUGCUCAGUUUGGCAAUACUGGUAGAAAUCAUACUGCUGGAAGAGGAAAUAUUUUUCAGUCUCCAAGGAUGUUUAAUGGCAAUCACAGAGGUGAAUAUGUAAGAGGACACUCAUUUGGCCCAAAUAAUGUUAACUCCUUUCAUGCACCUAGGAAUCCAAUACAAUUUACUCAGACUAGAGUUACUAAUAUGAAUGGACCUCAAGGAAUUCCAAGCAAUGCAGAAGAAUUGGUUUGCCAGAUUUGCUUUAAGCCUGGUCACACUGUUGAUAUUUGCUGGCAUCGAUUUGUGGAGGAUUAUGUCCCUUCUUCAAGGAGUCUAGGCAGAGGAAAAGGACCAAGAUCAGCAUAUAUUGCUAAUUUUGAUGGCUUUACAUAUCCAUAUCAAGGUUAUGAUAACUAUGAUAAUCAUCCUGCAUCUGAGGCAAGCUGCUAUUCUGGAAUUGAUAACUAUGAACCUGCAAAAGCUUAUGUGGCUAAUUUUGAAAGCUUUGCUGAUGAUGGCUGGUAUUUGGAUAGUGGGGCAACUCAUCACUUGACCAACAACAUGAAGAACUUGCAUUUUAAGGAAGACUACAAAGGUACUGAUCAACUCAUUAUUGGAAAUGGUCAAGGUCUGUCAAUUUCUCAUAUUGGUCAUGCAUUUUUAUCAUUUAUAGCUUCAAAACAUCCUUACAUACAUGCCUCCACUAUAGCACUUAAAGAUAUGUUGCUUAUUUCUACAAUCACUAAGAAUUUACUAAGCAUCUCCAAACUUACAUUUGAUAAUUCACUCUUUGUUGAAUUUUGUGAAAAUGUUUGUUAUGUUAAGGACAUGAAGGGGCAAGUUCUUCUGCAGGGCCUUGCUGAGAAAGGUCUUUACAAGCUGUUGAUGAAAUCUUCUUCCAUGUCAUCUUCUGCUUAUCACACAUCACCUGCCUUUCAUCUUUCUCAACUUUAGUCACAUAAACCAAUAUCCAUGUUGUCAUGCUCAAAUGUGUCUUCUAUUUCUUAUCAUUGUAAUUCCUUUGAUAAGACUUGUUUAAGCUCAGUUUCAAAUAAGUGUAACUAGAAACAUGAUGAACUUACUAUGUUACACAUAAAGUUUGGUCAUCCAAGCUCAACAGUAUUGAUGCAUUUGCUUAAGACUUGUAAACAAGUUAAAGUCUCUCAAAAAUCAAUUUUAUCUCAUGAGCAUUCUAUGUGUGAAGCAUGUCAAUUAGGAAAAGCUCACAAGCAAUAUUUUUCUACAACCGAAACCAAAACAACUCAAGUAUUAGAACUGAUACAUACUCAUCUAUGGGGGCCUUCACCUACUACAUCUAGAAAUGGUUUCAAAUACUACAUUAGCUUUGUAGAUGAUUAUAGUAGGUAUACCUGGAUUUACCCACUCAAACUCAAAUCAAAAGCUUUUGAAGUCUUCAAAUUAUUCAAAAUUCAAGUAGAGAAUCGGUUCAAUACCAAAGUCAAGAUGCUGCAAUCUGACUGGGAGGGAGAAUAUAGAGUUUUUACUGACUUCUUAAACCAGAAUGAGAUCAUUUUCAGACAUUCAUGCCCUUACAAACAUCAUCAAAAUGGUCUAGUAGAAAGAAAACAUAGACAUAUAAUUGAGUUAGCUUUGACUUUCUUAGCUCAAGCUAAUCUUCCUUUUAAAUUCUGGUGGGAAGCUGUUCAUAUAGCAGUGUAACACAUAAACAGAUUACCAACACCUAUAUUGAAACUCUUAUCUCCAUAUGAGAAGCUUUUUAAGCAUAAACCAGAUUACAACUUCCUUAAAUGUUUUGGUUGUCUUUGUUAUCCAUACUUGAGAGAUUUUAACAAACAUAAAUUUGACUUUCAUACCAGCAAAUGCAUCUUUAUUGGUUAUAGCUCAUCUCAUAAGGGAUAUAAAUGUCUUACAAGUUCAGGUCGAGUUCAUAUCCUUAGACAUGUUGUUUUUGAUGAAAGUGUAUUUUAAUAUACAAUAAUCUUUGUUUCUUCAUCAUCUGAAAAUGUUGCCAACUCAGAAACACCAGUGUUAAAUUUCUCUAAACAGCAAGUCUAUCAUCUUUCAACUCUACCCUUAUUCAACAACAGCUUUGAAGAUACUUUCUCAGCAGGUGUGCCAAGUGAUGAACAAACUCCUGUUUUGCCUGAGCAUACAGAUAAUUUGCAUCAACAAGAAUCAUCUAGUUAUUCUUUAUCAGAACCAUCAAUAUCACAAGUUAUCCCUCAAAUCCCUGAAUCUACUCAAACACAACCUGAACCACAAACAAGCACCAUCUAGUUAUUCUUUAUCAGAACUAUCAAUAUCACAAGUUAUCCCUCAAAUCCCUGAAUCUACUCAAACACAACUUGAACCACAAAUAAGCAAUCAACAACACUCUGAAUAUAAUCCAAACAGAAUUCAGAUCUCACAACCUACACAUAAAAUGAUUACCAGAUCAAAGUCUGGAAUAUUGAAGCCUAAGUUGUAUACAGCCACCUUGAUCAACAAAGAACCUAACACAAUUCAAGAAGCUCUGAAUGAUAAAAAUUGGUAUAAGGCCAUGAAAGAGGAAUAUAAAACUUUGAUCAGGAAUGAGACUUGGUCUCUUGUACCACCUCCAGCUGAAUACAAAAUAGUUGGAAACAAAUGGGUGUUCACGGUUAAACAAAAUAGUGAUGGCAUAGUUGGAAACAAAUGGGUGUUCAGAUUGGUUGCUAAAGGUUUCCAACAAACUGAAGGGAUUGAUUAUUUCGAAACUUUUUGCCCUGUUAUAAAGGCUUCCACAGUGAGGGUUAUAUUAAGCUUGGCUACAAUGCAUAGUUGGAUGAUCAGACAUGUAGAUGUCAAUAAUGCUUUUCUGAAUAGUGACUUAACGGAAGAUGUCUACAUGUAUCAGCCUGAGGGUUUUGUUGAUGAGAAGAGAUCAUGUUAUGUAUGUAAGUUGAAGAAGGCUUUAUAUGGUUUGAAACAAGCUCCCAGAGCUUGGUUUGAUAAACGAAAAGGUUGUUUGGUUGUAAACUGGGGAUUUCAAAAUUCCAGAGCUGAUACUUCACUGUUCUUUAAAGGAAAACAAGAUUCAAUGAUAUUAUUCUUGAUCUAUGUUGAUGACAUACUGAUAACAGGGCCUAACAGUGAUGAACUUGAAAAGUUUAUCUCAGACUUCAGCAAAGUGUUUGCAUUGAAAGAUUUGGGAAGACUCUCAUAUUUUCUGGGUAUAGAAGUAUUUUAUGCUAAGAACAACAUUUACUUAUCCCAAAGAAAAUAUGUUAGAGACCUGCUGAGCAAAGCUGAUAUGCUUCACUGCAAAGGAUGUGAUACACCAAUGGUUACAGGGACAAAACUUCAAAAGGAAGCUAAGGGAUCUUUGGGUCAGCAUGUUGAAGAUGCAACAAGUUAUAGAAGUUUAAUUAGAGGGCUGCAGUAUUUCGUUCUGACCAGGCCAGAGAUAGCUUUUGCAGUGAACAAGUUAAGCCAAUACGGUUCUGCACCUACACUACAACAUAUCAUAGCCUAUAAGAGAAUGCUUAGAUAUUUGAGAGAAACAGAAGACUAUGGAUUGAAAUUUUCAGCUGAUGGAGAAAUAAAGUUAACAGGUUUCACAGAUGCAGAUUGGGCGUGUGAUAUUGAUGAUAUGAAAUCAACAGGUGCAUACUGUAUUUACUUGGGAAAUAACUUGAUAUCUUGGUCAUCCAAGAAGCAAUCCAUAGUUACAAGGUCAAGUGCAGAGAGUGAGUACAGAGCUCUUGCUUCUGCAAGUGCAGAAAUUACAUGGUUAUAGUCAUUGUUCAAAGAACUCAAGAUUGAAUGUAUUUCAGUGCCCACAAUCUGGUGUGAUAAUAUAAGUGCAACUGAGCUGGCCAAAAAUCCUGUCUACCACUUGAGAACCAAACACAUUGAAUUGGACAUGCACUUUAUAAGAGACAAAGUGUUAGCAAGAGAGCUGGAAAUCAAUUACAUUCCCCGUGAAGAACAGAUUGCAGACAUCCUGACCAAGCCUCUCACAUUCACUCAAUUCAAUUAUCUCAGGAGAAAACUUAAUGUGCAGCCAUACCCUUUAAGUUUGAGGGGGACUAUUAAGGAAGCUCACAAUGUACAAAAGGGAGUUGUAUAUUGAGCACGUGUGUAUCAAUGAUGAGUUAGCAGUUAGUUGAGCAAAGAAGUCAGCUCAGCAAAUCUGUUAAUCAUGUUUUACAUUCUGUUCUUCAGUUGUUAGUAAAGAUUUAAUUCUGUUGAGAUAUGUGAGUUAGUAUAAAUAUGGUUGUGAUUGUAUUUGUAAGCAAUAACGUGAGAUUCAAUAAAAGUCAAUAGUUUCCAAGAAAAUCUUAUUAUCAUUUUCUUAGCUCCCAAACAACUUUUACCGUCACGAUUCAACUUUCAAACAGUACACCAUCGUAAUCUUUGGAACCAACAGGACCCCAAGUUUGUCCCGGUCAAGGAGUUUCUCGUACUUCGUUAAAUCGGACGAAAAAUUUAACCCCCGAUUAAAUAUGAAGAAGUUGAUACUCGGCAUCGAUAAAUAUAUAUCCUAUAAUAGAACAAACACACCAGAAAUUUGAACACCAGUUAUAAGUACAUACGAUGUAGAUAGAAUAUUGUCCACACCACAUGUUAGAACCCUAGCCAAGUCAUGCUUGGAUGGGGCAUGUCCCUGUGCUGGCAAUUUUAUUCUUAAUAUCGUCAAAGUACGUACUUAGCAUUACCGUAAAUAUAUAUAUCCUACUAACACUUAAUACGCUUUGUGUAGUUUACAACUUUAGAUCGAGAUUUAUGGCUAGGACAUAUGGCGAGGCUUUCCCUUUGCCUAACUUUACAUACCGCCGCCACCUCCACCACCGCCUCUACCGCCGCCUCCUUGACCUCCACCUCCUCCGCGGCGUCCGCCUUGACCGCCACCACCACCUCCUCGACCUCCUUUACCUCCUCCCUGUCCGCCACCUCCACCGCGGCCUCCUUGUCCUCCUCCACCUUGGCCACCACCGCCUCUUCCUCGACCUCCUCGACCUCCUCCCUGUCCGCCACCUCCACCGUGGCCUCCUGGACCUCCUCCACGGCCCUCACCUUUACCUCAAUUAUAUUAAUCAUAGCAGGACAAACUAAAAAUAAAAGAAAAUGGAGUGAUGACCACUAACAAUUUUCUGUCGUAGUUUCGGUAUCUAUGGGUAAUUGGCCUUUUCUUCAUCUUCUUGUUUCGUCUCCUUUGCUGUAUCUACUGCACGGAAGUUCAAUUUAAAAAAAAAAAAUGUAUAAGCGUUCUCAGACAUUCAAACUUUAAAUUGGAUGCAUCGAAUAUUGCAUGCAAUAAAAUUUGUACUUUAAGGGAAGGGCUUUACAAAAAUGUAAUUUGUAGUUUCUUUUUUAAUAUGUAUACCUCGGCAGAACAAGGGAGUUUAAAGGAAUGCUAAAAAAAUGUAACUAUUCUAUAUAUAUAAUUACGUCAACUUUUGACCUUAAAGCAAAAUAGAAAAUUAUUAUUUGAUCGAGAAUGUCAAAUACAUCUAGUGUUAAAAAUGAAUACAGAUAAAAUCAUAUAUAUAUAUAUAUAUAUCCGCUUAAUACAUAAAGAUACUAACAUUCUGCAACUAAGCAGGGGGAUGAGAACAACUAGUGCAAACAGAAGAGCUAAGAGAGUAAUAGCCUUGGUCUUCAUUUUGCUUGCAAAUUAAGAUAACCGCUAAGUCUUAACAGAGAGAGCUUCUAAAAAUGAUAUGAGCACCCGGGCUGCUUUAGCCAUUAUUUAUAGUGCCGAAGCAGCAACACAUACUGGUCACUAAGAGGAAAGUGAGCGGUUAGAAGAAAAGUGAGAGUAAUACAGUUUUUUUCCCCCCUCUUAAAAAUCUUCCAUGUACAACAUCUUAGCUGGCUGAUGAAGAUUUUGGCACCUAGUCGUAGUGUAGGAACUUGGAAAGACUUACCUCUUUCCCCAUGACAGAAAUCAAAUUUGAGGAACGCCAUUUGGAUUUGUUUGAGCUGAGACAUAUAUGACACGUGCUAUUUUGGAUACUGAAACUUGCAACUUGUGAGCAUGCAUGCAUGCAUGGCAGGUUGUGUUGAUGGUACCUUGCACCGCUUCUUGAUGCUCAGGAGUAUAAAAGAGAAGGUGACAGCUUACCCUGCUUCUACUAAAUUGUACAAUUUAGUGUUGGCAACUGGCAAAUGAACUCCGAAGCUUAUCAUCUGGCACAGACAAGAGUAUCAAGACAUUAUUAUAAAUGCAAGUCGUGGUGUAAGAUUAUUAAAAGAUAAGUACAAAUAAGAUCUAAAUUUUUAGUUAAUUAAUAUUAUAUACACAUAUAUCAAAGGAUUUGAAACAUGAAGAAAAAUACAUGUUUCUUAAAACAACAGGAAUGUUUCCAUCAUUGUUUUCUUCAUCUGUAUGAAUACGGUUUUAUCUCUAUCUCUCUUGCUACUCCAAAAGGUUUACCGGUUGUGUCAAUUGGAUCCCAUGUAGAAUUCUACUUAUUUGGAUGCCAUAAGGAGUCAACAUCCAAUAAGAAAAAGAAAUCAAAACAAAUGUAUUCUUGUUGAUUAGGGGCGGGAUCGCACGUGAGAUAAUUAAUUGUUUUUUAUUAAUAUAUUAACAUGAUGAAAUUAAGUUUCUACAAAAAUUUAUUAAUAAUGUGAUGUUACUCUAAAGUUAAAUACUUUCAUUUCCUAGGAGAUAACCUUUCUGGUUUUCUUCUCUUCUUAUGGAAUUAUGAGAUCAAAGGAUUUAAUUCCCUCACACAUGCUUUGGAGGUAGAAAUUCCUCUAUUAAUGGGAUGUAGUGACGCUUCCUUUUGUGGUUGUUAAUUAGUUUUAGUUGAUUGGAUCGGUUGCCACGCAUCAUUUAGAAAACAAUUUUGUUACAAUUUUGUAAACAACAAUGCCGUGAUCCUAAUAUUUUUAUUCUAACUGAUUUUACAUUUAUUUAUUGGAUUAUAUAAUAGUUAUUUUGUAAAAAAACAAAGAGUGAAACCUCCUAUUAUGAGAAUUCUCCUACUUUUUCUAAUAAUUUUUUUAUUUAAUUUUUCAAUUAAUAAUGAUUAAAAGUUUAGUCAAUUAAUUAAAUAAUUAAAGUUAUUCUUAUGGCUUGUAGUACUUGCUUCCUACUUGGAGGAUGAACAACGAAGUACACCUUCAAUUUUCAUUCUCAAAAUGUGAGAAUGAGGAUAUUUACAGUCAUGAAAUAAAGUUUAUUUCUAAUUUUAGAUUUUUCCAGAAAUAAUAAAACUAGAGUAAUCAUCUUAAUUUCUUAUUUUAUACCUUAACAGACUCCCAUAGACGCUCCUUUGUAUCAUCUGGAACUCUACGCUAAUCGUUGUAGAGGAUUGGAAUUGAUGUACGAGCCAAAACACCAAUAUACGUAGCUAGCUCAAUGACUUUUUCACCAACUGGAACACCAAGGCUGUUGUAUUUAACCACAAACUUUCCACUUCUUUUCCUCUUCUUGUUUUGUUCUGACCCAACAGUGUCACUUCUGCUUUGCUUACUGCUCUCAGGUUCAUCCUCGUUACCAUCUCCAAACUCAUCAAGAUCAGGGACAUGAUCGGCCAGGGGCGUUCCAGGAUCAUAUCCUUCGCGGAUAAGUGCCUCAUGGUACUCUGAUUCCUCACCAACAGAUCCAUCAUUUUGUUAAUCUAAAAACUCAUCGAAAUGGGCAUUAGAUUGCUCAGACGAAGAAAUCUCAGGGACAUUUUUUCCCUUAUCCAUGAUGAAUUCGUUACCAUUUCCAAACUCAUCAAGAUUAAGGACAUGAUCGGCCAGGGGGGUUUCAGGAUCAUAUCCUUCGCGGAUAAGUGCCUCAUGGUACUCUGAUUCCUCAUCAACAGAUCCGUCAUUUUAUUCAUCUAAAAACUCAUCGAAAUGGGCAUUAGAUUGCUCAGACGAAGAAAUCUCAGGGACAUUUUUUCCCUUAUCCAUGAUGAAUUCGUUACCAUUUCCAAACUCAUCAAGAUUAAGGACAUGAUCGGCCAGGGGGGUUUCAGGAUCAUAUCCUUCGCGGAUAAGUGCCUCAUGGUACUCUGAUUCCUCACCAACAGAUCCAUCAUUUUGUUAAUCUAAAAACUCAUCGAAAUGGGCAUUAGAUUGCUCAGGCGAAGAAAUCUCAGGGACAUUUUUUCCUUUAUCCAUAAUGAAUAUCACAAUUGUAGAACAAAAUCAAAUAAUAAUAAUAAUAUAUUACCACAUAAAAACUGCCAAAAAAUACAAAAUAGAAUAAUAACAAAUAGCAUAAAAUACUUCUUGUAUUAACCUUAACAUAUAUCAUUUUGAGAAGGACUCAACAAAUAGCUCAUGCAAACAAACACAGAAACGAUAUUCAAGGUCCAAUCCAAAUUCCCUCCUUACUGGCUCGUGCGCACAUUGCAGCAUCAUCGUCAAUAGAGUUUAUGUUAUCAGUACUUGGAAAUUCAGUAGUCAAUGAAGGGUAUUCCACUGCAUCUUCACUUCUUUGUGUGGGUUUACCUCUUCUAGGCAUUUGGCAUACAACUGACCACUUCUUAUCAAGCUGACCAGGUAAAUAAAAAACUUAGUUGUCUUGAGAAGCUAAAAUAAAUGGAUCAGAUUUAUGACUCAUUCGUUGCAAGUCUACUAAAGUAAAUCUAAGUCUAUCCUUCAUAACACCACCUCUGGUAUGUACCUAGUCACACUUCAUUAUUGGAAUUCUAAAGAUAACAUAAUCUAGAUCGCAAAUCUCUCCAAUCACUCCAUAGUAUGUGAUGUUAGAAGUGACAGGAUUUUUAUCUUUUGAACUUGCGACUGAAAUUGUUUGUGCAACCAAUGACACUCCACUAUUUUGAGUAACUCUAUUUAAGUCUCGAUCUCUUGUAACAAAGUGAAAACCAUUUAUGUCAUCCCUUGGGAUAACCAACGGAUUGUUUGAGUAACAACGUGAUCGUUCUCUAUCAACAUAUUUACCUAUUAUUAAUCGACAUGAAUAUAAUGUUAAACAAGCACAAACCGAAACGGAAAGGAAAAAUUGAAUUAAUUAUACUAAUGUUAUCAAAACUUUAUCUGUUAGCCAAUCUGCAAAUGUUCGGUUGUGUUCAUCUUGAACCACUUCUCAUUUUUUCGUGGAUGCCAAAGUUGUAACCAAUCCAUAUGCUCUUUAAAAAUCAAUUACAAAGACAAACUUUUCAGGUUCCUAAACUACCAAAACUUGACAAGCAUAAAGCUAAAAUAACACAAGUUAGAUAACAUCACCUUAUAUAAGGCUGAACUUUCUUAGUGUUAUGCAAAACAUACAAGUGUGCUUGAUCUAACGAAGUUCGAUCAAACUCAUGGGCUUAUCAAUUUCUAAAUUCUGCACAUGUCCAGAUGGAACCCCAAUUGUGGGCAUGUUUUCCAAGUAUUCUACACAAAAUUCUAAUGCUUCCUCGGCAAUAUAACUCUCCGCUAUGCAACCCUCAGGACAGUUACGAUUUCGAAUAUAACCUUUUAGAGUUUUCAUGUAUCGCUCAAAAGGAUACAUCCAUCGAAAAUAUACGGGGCCACAUUGUCUAACUUCACUCACUAAGUGAAUAGUAAGAUGGACCAUUAUGUUAAAAAAAGAAGGGGGAAAAUAUUUUUCAAGCAAGCACAAAGUCUUUACAAGGUUUUUCUCCAAUUCAUCUAGCAUUGUCACAUCAAUCACAGUCUCACACAACGAAUUAAAGAAGAAACAUAACCUAAUGAUAGCUUCUUUAACAUGUUUGGGCAGCACACACUUUAUGGCAAUUGGCAAAAGUUGUUGCAUAAUAACAUGACAGUCAUAGGACUUAAGACCCUGGAGUUUAAAAUUCUUUUUUGGCACAAGAUUCCUAAUAUUUGAAGAGUAUCUAGUAGAAACCUUGAUCCUUUUCAAAGCUGCAUAGAAUCUUGCUUUUUCCUCCUUAGUUAAGGUGUGACAAGCAUGAGGAAGCUAUGCACGAUUGUUGUUUCCUUUAACUUAUGGUGUUAAUUUGGCCUAAUUUUCAUUUUCAAGAGAUCCAUCCUCAAUUUCAGUCCAUUUUUGGACUUUCCAGGAAUAUGCAGCAGUAUACCAUAGAUGUUCUCACACUAAUUCUUUUCAAUGUGUAUAACAUCUAAUUGAUACCGCACAAGCAAGUGCUUCCAAUACUCUAAAUUAUAAAAUAUGGAUUUCUUCUUCCACCACACAAGAUCAUCAUUGUUCUUACUUUUACUCUUUUUACUAUUACUUUUCCCCUAUUUAUUAUCAAUAGAGUAGACCAGCUAGAAAAUUUCCUCCCCGGUGAAUAGUUUUGGAGGGGUUUCAUCACACAUUAUUGUCAAAGGCUUUUGUUUGGAACCAAAAUUUAUAACCAUAAGGAAGCUAAAGUCGAUGCCUAAUGUAUACAUUUUUUCCAUUGUGUUUAAGUCUACAUUUUGGUAUUUCUACACUACAAUAUGGGUAGAUGUUGAGUGUUAGAAAAUGCAUAUUUAUAAAGGAGAAAACCGUCAUUUUACAUUUCAAGUCUUACUAACAACCCUUACUUUUAUGUAUUUAACCUUCUUGUUAUUUAAUUACAUGUGUUUUAUUUUAAUUAAGUAUUUUAUGUAUUUUAGGGGCAUCAUAGUCAUUUUACAAUAAACGAGAAAUCAGAUGGCAAAACGAACAUCACUUUUGAACUCAGGACGGUCGAAAACAUUAGGAGGAGCAUAAAAGGAAAAAUGGCACUAUUCACAUGUACGGUACUAUUCACGUGUACGGUACUGUAUACGUUACUGUUCACGACACUGUUCACAUAGACGGAUCGAUGACGUGGCAUUGACNNNNNNNNNNNNNNNNNNNNNNNNNNNNNNNNNNNNNNNNNNNNNNNNNNNNNNNNNNNNNNNNNNNNNNNAGAGAAAACUGCUGUACCGUACAUCCGCCUUGGCCGUACAGCAGAUUUGGUAAAUUUAUUUUCUUUUCCCCUCUAGUUUUUGUGGAUGUUUUGACUUCUCGUCGACAAAUAAUAAUAGUCUUGUCUAGAUACCGCUUUGGUUAUACCGGCUCUCUAGUAUAAGGUUAUUAUUAUUUGGCACGAUAAGCCCUUAGCACCAUAUUGAUUAGAGCGUGGUUCAUGAGGUGUGGAUUCCCCCCUCAUGAUUUAAUUGGCAUUAAUACGGAUUAUUUAGCCCAUGAUGCAUGUUGAUACGGAUCCAGAUACCCAAGUACGUCAAUUUAAUAGAUUUUCUCUUCAAUUUAUUCUCUCAAUUGCAAUUCCAAUUUUAGAAUUUAUUCUCGCCAUUUUAAUUUAAUUAUUAGCAUAUUCCAAAUCAUUUCCACCAUAAAUCCAACUACCCAUUUACAAAAUUAAUUCUAUAUAUAAUUAAAAUCCACCUCCUUGUGGGAUCGACACUCGUCACCAUUAGUCUAUACUACAAUAGAUUCGUACGCUUGCGAGUACAUUAAAAUUUGCACAACAGUAGACAUAUUAUCUUUUAACAUUACAUCCCGCUAAAUUUUCGUAUACCGGGAAGUCAUUUAUUGUCCAUAGUAAUACAGCCCGCAAAUUAAAGUACUCAUUUUUAUAGGCAUCAUAUGCCUCCACCCCAACAUCCCAUAAAGUUUUCAAAUCCUCAAUAAAAAGUUGUAAAUACAUAUCAAUGUCAUUACCCGAUUGUUGAGGACCAGAAAUCAAAAGGGACAACAUCAUGAAUUUUCGUUUCAUGCACAACCAUGGUGGAAGAUUAUAAGUAAUAAGAAUUAUUGGCCAGCAGUUAUAUGUACUACUAAGAGAAUUAUGUGGAUUGAUUCCAUCAACUGAUAGAGAUAGGCAAAGGUUUCUAAGAUUUAAAGCAAAGAUUGGCCAUUUCUCAUCUACUAACUUCCAAGAUGGUGAGUCACCCGGAUGUCGGAGUUUACCAUCAACCAUCCUCUCAUUUGCAUGCCAAGUCAAGUCCCUAUCAGUUUCUAAUGACUGAAACAUGCGCUUAAACCUAAGUAUAGGAGGAAAAUAUCAUAAAAUUUUUAUAAGAACCCCUUUCCUAUAUUGGUCUACAAUACCAUCAUUUUUCUUCCAUCUACAUAACCCACAAGUAAGACAUUCAAAAAGACUUUCAUACUCUUUUAUGAGAGUAUGCAAUCGUUUGGGCAAGCAUGAAUUUUAACAUAUUCUAAGCCCAAAGCUAACAUUGUCUUUUUAGCCUCAUACAUAGAGGUUAGAAUUUCAUUAUUUUCAGGGAAAACAUCUGCUAAAACACUCAAUAAUGCAGAAAAGCUACUGUUAGACACCCAAAUCUACCCUUCACGUUGAACAAUUUCACUAAAAUGAUAACUUAGUAAAUUUUGUGUAUCCUAGGUAUAAGGGUUUCUCAGCUUGUUCUAGCAACUCUUUAAAUACCUUAGGGUCCUCACAACAACCCUUAUAAGCAUCAUUAACCAUUUCUAACUCAUUACUAUUGUCAAACUCUAUAUUUUGUUGUUGAAAAUGGUUUUCUCUUUGAGGAGAAUGACUCUUACGAAUCUCUUCCCUAUGCUAAAAUCAAUUGUCGUAUUUCACAUCAAAACCAUGCAUAUAUAAAUUAUCUUUUACAGUUGUAGGUAUUUCAAAUGAUAAAUUCCCACAAUCAAGGUAUGGACACCUAAUGACACUACUGCCUCCAGCAUUUUUUAUAGCAAAAUUUAUAAAUUUCUCGACACCCUCUUUAUAUUCUGUCGACAGUUGAUUACAUUGAAUCCAAAAUUUAUCCUUUUCUGGCUUAACAAUUAAUGUUCCUGACAUAUACAUAAAACAAAAAAAGAAUGUACAUACUUAGAAUAUUUGUCUAAUGUUACAGCACCAUGUGAAAUAAACAAAGUUAAACCUACGUGAGGCCAUUCAAAUUAAACACAAUUUGGCCCAUAUAGUUUUCUUUUUUAUAUUAAAGAAACAAUCCACUUUACGGAAAAGUAUGUUCAUGGUCCAGAAACAAAUUUAAAAAUUACAAAUAUAGCUACCAAGAAAGCUGAUAAAUUGAAAUUCAUACUUUUCAAAAGUUCACUCUCCUAUUAUACUAUCAAUAUAAUGAAUAAGACAGACUCCACAACAAACACGUUACAUAGUAUCAUAAUUAGAAAUUUAAAGAUAUGUAAAUUUUAAGCAAGUGUAUAACAACUUCAAAAAGUCAAAUAAUAGAGGAUAAGAAAUGAAACUUACUAGAUUAAACACAACAAUUUGCUGCUAUAUCCAAUUCCAGGUAUAAAUCCAGCAACAAUAUUUAUUACUGAAAUAUAUUUUGAAUGAUCAGUUGAUAGAAUUCCAAAACUUGGAUUCAAGAGGGCUAAAAAGGUACAAAGAAAUUACAUUAAUCAUAUGAGUAAGCCUAAGAAGAAAUAAUAAACUACAACUUCAAAUAAUAUACAUCAGUAGAACGAAAAUGAAAGCAAACACAAAGAAAAGCUUCAAGUACCUUAAUAUAAUGCUUUUAACAAAUCAAGAACAUUGAACUGUCACGUUUAUGCAGCAAUCACAACUAUUUAUAUUUGACACGCAAAUGUUAUGACUAAAGAAAACAACAGUAACAACAAUAACACCAGCAGAUGCAAAAUAGCUACAACACCAAAUGAAUAGGUAGAUGACAAUGAGAGGUGAGAAUCCCUCAAUUUUACAUAAAAGAAUCAGCUACUAAGAAUCCCUCCUCAUGCUUUGUUAUAGACAUUUUAGGCCAAUAUUUAAAGAAUCAGCUAUCAGAACAUAAAGAUAUAUAAGUUUUAGAUUAUCACCAUCUUCAUACACUAACACUCAUCUAACUUUACGAAUCUUCAAUAUCAGAAUUAGCUAGAAAAAAAAAAAAUUCACACACAGACACAUGAAUAUUAAUCAGAAUUACCUAGAAUAAAAACAAAAUUAACAACAUUAUGCAAUGCACGAUUACAACUCAAAAUAGAACACAAAAUAUUUUUAAAGACUAUCUUCUUGGGAAAUUAUUUAGUAAAUUUAUUACCGAAGUAUAUGCAAUACAUGCAAAUACAUUUAAAUUUUUUACAAAUUAUUUACUACUUUACACAAAAGUUGAAUGAAUAGUCAAAAUUAAAUGCAUGCAAAUACAUCAAUGACUCACCAGUGGGUGUGAAGCUUCAAUUCACCGUCAAGGCUAGGGUUUUAACUUCGGAAAUAAUGAUUUGGGUCUUCUUUCACGGUAAGCGAUUGGGUUUCUUUCAGUCAAUAAAAGUAUUUUGGUUGUUGUUCUCAUUCCAAUUUGGGUUUCGAUUAGCAUUGACUUUGUCCUAGCAAAGAGAGACGAUUCAGUGACAACCGCAGCAAAGAGAGACGAUUCAAUGAAACAACCAGAACGAUUUUGAAAUGAUGGGUGUUUGAGUGUCGUUAGUUUGCUAUGGCCGGCCUUUGAGGGUUUGCUGCAAGUGUGCUAAUCGAUUUUGAGAUUCCACAAUGACACUUGAAAAUUUUCUGAACACUUAGAAAAACAUUUGCCUCUUUUCUCACAAAAAUGUUUCCCCCCAUUACAAAAUGCAACGUUUUAUUAAUUUUUUUUGUUAUUUACAUUUCUGGUUUUUCUCAAACACUUGUAAAACACAAUUUUUUUUAAUUUAAAUUUGUUACUUUAACAGAGACGAAAUUGUUUCACUUUUUUUUAGUAAUAUAAUAUUUUUAAAAAUUAAGUCAAACUCGCGUAAUUGAAGUCAACAUAAAAAAUCCGUAUUUCAUUCUUGAUAGCUAAAUAAUUUAUCACUAGUCUAUCAUAGUUUCUUGAUAUAUGAUAUUUAUAUCACCAAUAUAUCAUAAUCUGUUGAUAAACGAUAUUUCUAUCACAACUAUGUCAUAAGUGUAUGACCAAAAAUAAAUCUAUCACGAUUUUAUUGUCGUAGGCCUCCAGACCAAAAAUUGUCACACAAAAGACUGUCAUAAUAGGUACUUUUUCUUGUAGUGUUUCCUGGCCAUUCUCAUAUUUCUUCCCUUUCUCAACAUCAUCAUCUUCGCCCUUUUUUACUUUCUCAUUUUCUUUAUACUUUUCAGAAUAGCUUUGGUAUGCAUCCUUACCGAUUUGAUCUUUGUGAGUGUAUUAGUAUCCACCAUUUGCUAUCAUAGCCACUUUAGCUACACUUGUAUUAGAACAUUUUAAAUGGAUUUUCAACUAUAAUAUUCGUUAUUUAAUUUUAUUCCUAUAAAAGUCUACAGCAGUAGGGUAACUUUUUAGUUAGAACACUAAUUCAUUCAUCAACUACCAAAUUACUAUAUAUUAUUUUAUCGAUCUUAUGAAAUAAUAUUUCCAUAUCGAUAUAUUGAUGUAAUAGCUUUAAAAAAUCCUAAAAAUACAUGCUUAUAUUUAUGAAAUCAUGAGUAUGUAUUAAAUUUUAUAGAAUGGGCAAGUAAUCACUCAAUACUCUCACAAUUUUUCUUUCUAGUAGGAAGCUUUAGCCAGUUCUCUAGGCGGCACUUCCGAAGAGAUGAGAGCAACUACGGCUACUAAAAGAACGAAAUGACAAAGGAGCGUUUUCAAACUUUAGUCAACAAAUAUCACAACUGUAAGAAAUUCUGCACAAGGUUGAAAAGUCUGAAUUUAUUGAAAUCAAUGCACGAAGAUUUAAUUAACAAGCUACACAUCACUAGAAACUCUAUGAGUCAUGAAUUUUAAAAACUUCUACAAUGUUUUAUUUGAAGUUUUCUAUAUUAAGAUGUGACUAAAUGAAUGUUAACUUCUCAAAUUCACUAUUGAACCUGACUUAGAAUUCAAAACAUGCCCUGCUUUAUUUUCUUCCAACUAUUUAUAGCUAAGAUAUGUACCACAUUAUCUAUAACAAGGUUGGGAGCAUGUGUGAUUUUGAAUAUGUAACUUAGAAGAGAUCUCUUGUCUAGAGAUCUUUCAUUCAACUCUGCAUCUUUUAUGUGGAUUCUUUAUAAUGGUGAGUUAUCGAACCUUUUAUCUCUUACAAGACAUUGGAUGAUAAAUUUUCUGUAUCCCGUUAUAAUCCUCUAGAAAGCUUAUCUUUUACUCUUAUUUUUACCUACUGUUUGUCUACUUUAAAAAUAAAAGUUCAAUUUAUCUUUAGUUCACUGUCACUAAAAGGAGCAGAGACUUUGAGCCCGUGAUGUUAACCAAGUAGAAAAGCUACUUACUGUAUCAGUAAGUAAAUUAAUUUUUGAAGGGUGAGAUAAUAUGGGUCUUCUUCUCAAAAUUUAUAAGCUGGAGGGAGAGAGACGUUUAGCCAAAAAUGGAUGCGCAAACUAUACCCUCAAGUAUACAAAGUUGUUUGAGAGUUUUCUAGUUUUCAAAUUGCUUCUAUAAUUGACUUUUCAAUUGUUCAUCUUAAUUUUUCAUUUUUUCCUUUGAGUAUAUUUUAGUAAGUCACAAGAGAUCUUGGAUAGCAUUUUCCAAUAACUAUUAAUCGAUAAUGGAUUAGUUGCGAUUUGGGUUUUGCGUGUAUAUAUACUAUACAUGUCAGUCUAAUUAAGCUAAGUGGGUCAUUUGUUGUGCAAAUUUUAAUGUACUUGUAAGCACACGAGUCUAUUGAAACACAGAAUAUGAAUAAUGAGGUUAAACCCAUAGAGACUAUCAAUUUUUAGAAAAGUAAAAUUUAAUUUAAGCUAAUUAUAACUCUACACUAGUUAGAAAAGUAAAUAUUUUGUUUAAAGAAAUUAAAAUUAAAGACGCAAUUAAAAUUAAAACGAGUAAUUUAACACAAGAAUUCAAGAGGUUGAAGCUACCAAGGUUUUAGAAUUUACCACAAUUUAACUUAACAAUUAUCUAAUUAUCAAUCAAUUUCUAAUUUUAUAGCGACAACUCAAAAUCAAUUUAUGUCUACUUAUGAAUAUAACAAUUAAGCUCAAUUAAAAUUAAUCUUGUGUAUAUUCUUUUUCUGCUUAAUAGUAUGAUAUCUAAACAUCCAUAUAAACAAUAUUGAAUAAUAAAGAGUCAAAGUUUUCCUAAGCAUUUUGUGUAAACAAUAUAAUGAAAGACACAAAAUCAAAGAUAAUCAUAUAUAAUUAAACUUUAUAAAUCCAAACUUAGGUUUAGUCAAAUGUUAUCCUAACAAUUAAUAAUACAUGACAAAAUUAGUGGAAAAAUUUUAUAAUAUUCAACUAAAUAUGUGAAAGAAGAACCAUAAACUUUAAAGCACGCAUAAAAGAAAUUAAUUAAAUAAAAAAUUAUUUAUUUUGAAGUUAACCCUAGUAUAAAAGAUUUAGAUGGACAUAGGCAGAUUGAGAACGAUAAAGCCAAUAGAACGCAUCAUGCAGCUUGGGACUCUUAAUUCUUCUCUCUGUCUUCUGUACAUCUCCCUCUUGUCCUUCUGGCGACUCUCCCCUUUCAAAAGCUAAAAGCUUCCUUUACAUAAUGCUUGGCCGAAUCCUUCUAGAAUUAAGUUGCUUGGCCGCCAAUCUAUAUAUAUAUAUAUAAAGUUGGGACUUGAGGAGGUGAUGUGGCAUCUCAAUUUCUCAUUUUUGUAUAUUCUCUUUUAUCUAAUAAAUAGAGAAAUUUUCUUUUAGAUUUGGCUUUUCAUCUUCUCAUAAUUAAUUUGAUUGUUAUUAUACAAUAACAAUUGUGUAAAGAUUUUAAUGAGGCAUAUUCUUUGUAAUGAACAUCCAAGGAGGAGUGUUAUGAAUUUAUUAAAAUAAAUGUAGAUGUUCAUAACAUAUAUCUCUUAGUCUCCCCACUGUCUCCCCACUAUCUCCCAUUAGCAACCUUUAGCUUCCCUAUAACUCCCACUAUCUCACAAGGAAUUAUGAUCUAUAAUUUUUUAUUAAUUUCAUGGAGUGAUUAUGUAACUAUAAAAGGAGAGCUCAUCUUUUUUGUUUUGUAAACACACAAUUAGAAUGAAUAAAAUUACUCUAUAAUAUAUUCUCUCAUUUUAUUCUUUAUCUUAUAUAAAGUUGGGACUUGAGGAGGUGAUGUGGCAUCACUAUUUCUCAUCUUUGUAUAUUCUUUAUUAUCUAAUAAAUAGAAAAAAUUUCUUUUAGAUUUGGCUUUUCAUCUUCUCAUAAUUAAUUUGAUUUUUAUUAUACAAUAACAAUUAUGUAAAGAUUUUAAUGAGGCAUAUUCUUUGUAAUAAACAUCCAAGGGGGAGUGUUAUGAAUUUAUAAUAAAUGUAGAUGUUCAUAACAUAUAUUUCUUAGUCUACCCACUAUCUCCUAUUAGCAACGUUUAGCUUCCCUAUAACUCCCACUAUCUUACAAGGAAUUAUGAUCUAUAAUUUUUUAUUAAUUUAAUGGAGUGAUUAUGUAACUAUAAAAGGAGAGCUCAUCUUUUUUGUUUUGUAAACACACAAUUAGAAUGAAUAAAAUUACUCUAUAAUAUAUUCUCUCAUUUUAUUCUUUAUCUUAUAUAAAGUUGGGACUUGAGGAGGUGAUGUGGCAUCACCAUUUCUCAUCUUUGUAUAUUCUCUAUUAUCUAAUAAAUAGAGAAAUUUUCUUUUAGAUUUGGCUUUUCAUCUUCUCAUAAUUAAUUUGAUUGUUAUUAUACAAUAACAAUUAUGUAAAUAUUUUAAUGAGGCAUAUUCUUUGUAAUGAACAUCCAAGGGGGAGUGUUAUGAAUUUAUUAAAUAAAUGUAGAUGUUCAUAAUAUAUAUCUCUUAGUCUCCCCACUAUCUCCCAUUAGUAACCUUUAGUUUUCCUAUAACUCCCACUAUCUCACAAGGAAUUAUAAUCCAUAAUUUUUUAUUAAUUUCAUGGAGUGAUUAUGUAACUAUAAAAGGAGAGCUCAUCUUUUUGUUUUGUACACACGUAAUUGGAAUAAAUAAAAUUACUCUAUAAUAUAUUUUCUCAUUUUAUUCUUUAUCUUGAUUAUAAAAUAGGACAAUUUAUAAUUAACCCUCACUCAAAAGUCAAAAAAAAAUUUUUCUCUUAAAAAAAUUUAACAUUUUAGAAAUUAAAAAGGUUAUUUUUUCUCUAAUUAUCAAGUAAGGAAUUCACCACUAGUGGUUGAAAUGGGAAGAAGGAAACUUGUUUUUUUUUUUUUUUUGAACGGAAGAAAUCCUGUGGUUGAAAUAUGAUUUAAUAAUAAAAAUAAAUAAAAAUUAGAGAAUAGAGUUUACACUAACAAAUUUUGAUUAAGGGUAUUUUGUCAUUGGUGGAGGUGUUAAAAGAACUUUAUAAUUUUUAAAAAUAUUUUAGUGGAGUUAACAAAGAAAAAGGAUGUUAAGAGAUAUUUAGAGGGGUGCCAAUAGUCUCACUGAUAAGGAAAACCAACUAUUCUCAUUAUGGAUUUAUUUAUUAUUUUUUCUUAUAUUUUUCCCUUUUGCUAGUCAGUUUAUCAACUCAUCCUUCUCUGAUUGGCAAAAAAAAAAAAAAGCUUUUGAUUAUUAGUUGAAAAAUCAGUAAUACAUUUCUAGGUAUUCGAUAAGUGAACUUUCGGAUAUUAAGUUGAUGAAAUUUUUUUUUUAUUCAAUCUAAUUUUGUUCCAAAAAUAAUUUUAUUUAAAGGUAUUUCGGAAAUAAAAAUAUAUAUUUAAAUAUGGGUGUAGAGAGGAACAUAUUGGGUUCAAUAGUCUCACCCUAAUAAUUUUUAAUAAAAAUUCUUAUUAAUAAUUAAAUAACUUUUGAUAAAAACUCUACUAAUAAAAGUUUUACUUAGAUAAACUCUAUUUGAAAUUUUAUAUUGAAUGGUGCCUUUGUUGGUAUAGUUUCUGUAAAUUAACCAGCUCUGGAGCUUUUUGUUUUUUUUUUUUUUCAGGGGGUAAAAAUUUUUGUUUUUAAUUGUCUUGUUAAAUUGUGGCCUUGAAAAGUUAUCAAGUCAAAUUACCACUUUUACUUAAUUUCUUCCAGUUGCUGGUAUCUGGAUUGCGUAUCUUUGAAACAAUAGGCCAUAAAGUUUUGAGAAUCAAUUAAUGACAUGCGAAAUAUCACUUUGAAGUUUGAAUCUUCACUUUGAAUCUUUUUUCUGUGCAAUAAAAGAAAUCAAACAUGUUUUUCAACUUCAAUUUUUGACCCUUAUUUUGUUGCCAUUUUGUAUCCAAAGAAUUCAUUGAAAAAAGCUCUAAAAAAUUCUUAUCGCACAUCGGCAAAGGGGAAAAUAUCAAUGAAAAAGAAUGUAUCAACGUCAAGAAUUCAAAUUAAAAUUGAGGUUCAAAUUUUGGAACUCAAUUUAACAUAACCCUUCCCUACGGUAAUAAUCUAUCUAUAUAUAUAUAAAGUUGGGACUACAAGAGGUAAUGUGGCAUCACAAUUUCUCAUCUUUAUAUAUUCUCUAUUAUCUAAUAAAUAGAGAAAUUUUAUUUCAGAUUUGGAUUUUAAUCUUCUCAUAAUUAAUUUGAUUGUUAUUACACAAUCAAUAUGUUCUCAUAUUUGUAUAUUCUCUAUUAUAUAAUAAAUAGGGAAAUUUUAUUUCAGAUUUAUCUUUUCAUCUUCUCAUAAUUAAUUUGAUUGUUGUUAUACAAUAACAAUUAUGUAAAGGUUUUAAUGAAGCAUAUUCUUUGCAAUGAACAUCCAAGGGGGAGUGUUAUAAAUUUAUUAAAAUAAAUGUGGAUGUUCAUAACAUAUAUCUCUUAGUCUCCUCACUAUCUCCAAUUAGUAACCUUUAGCUUCCUAUAACUUCCACUAUCUCACAAGGAAUUAUGAGAAAAAAAUCAUUGGCUUAUCAAAUUAUCUAUUGAGCCUUGAAAAAGAUUCAACAAAAGACAGAAAAAAAUCCACUGUCUGUUUUACGUCAAGCAAUACGUGGAGUAACUCUCGAUAUAGCAGUAAAAGCAAGAUGUGUAGGCAGAUCGACUCAUCAAGUUCCCAUUGAAAUAGGAUCCGCACAAGGAAAAACACUUCCCGUUUGUUGGUUAUUAGGUAUAUAUAUAAAGCUGGGAUUAUAAGAGGUGAUGUGGCAUCACUAUUUCUCAUCUUUAUAUAUUUUUUAUUACCUAAUAAAUAGAGAAAUUUUUUUUCAGAUUUAGCUUUUCAUCUUCUCAUAAUUAAUUUGAUUGUUAUUAUACAAUAACAAUUAUGUAAAUAUUUUAAUGAGGCAUAUUCUUUGUAAUGAACAUCCAAGGGGGGGUGUUAUGAAUUUAUUAAAUAAAUGUAGAUGUUCAUAAUAUAUAUCUCUUAGUCUCCCCACUAUCUCCCAUUAGUAACCUUUAGUUUCCCUAUAACUCCCACUAUCUCACAAGGAAUUAUGAUCCAUAAUUUUUUAUUAAUUUCAUGGAGUGAUUAUGUAACUAUAAAAGGAGAGCUAAUCUUUUUGUUUUGUACACACACAAUUGGAAUGAAUAAAAUCACUCUAUAAUAUAGUCUCUCAUUUUAUUCUUUAUCUUAUAUAAAGUUGGGACUUGAGGAGGUGAUGUGGCAUCAUCAUUUCUCAUCUUUAUAUAUUCUCUACUAUCUAAUAAAUAGAGAAAUUUUCUUUUAGGUUUGAUUUUUCAUCUUCUCAUAAUUAAUUUGAUUGUUAUUAUACAAUAACAAUUAUGUAAAGAUUUUAAUGAGGCAUAUUCUUUAUAAUGAAUAUCAAAGGGGGAGUGUUAUGAAUUUAUUAAAAUAAAUGUAAAUGUUCAUAACAUAUAUCUCUUAGUCUCCCCACAAUCUCUCAUUAGUAACCUUUAACUUCCCUAUAACUUUCACUAUCUCACAAGAAAUUAUGAUCCAUAGUUUUUCAUUAAUUUCAUGGAGUGAUUAUGUAACUAUAAAAGGAGAGCUCAUCUUUUUGUUUUGUACACACACAAUUGGAAUGAAUAAAAUCACUCUAUAAUAUAUUCUCUCAUUUUAUUCUUUAUCUUGCGUUGCUUCUUUAUUUGUAUUGCUGGCUAAUAGUUUUUUUUUUAUAAGGCUGCCUCAUCUUUAAAAAAAAUCAAUUCAUAUUUUUUAUCAGUUUAAUUAAGUGGAAAGUAAGAAAAAAUGAUAAUACUAAAUUCUUUUUUCAAAGCCGCGUGAAGCGCNNNNNNNNNNNNNNNNNNNNNNNNNNNNNNNNNNNNNNNNNNNNNNNNNNNNNNNNNNNNNNNNNNNNNNNNNNNNNNNNNNNNNNNNNNNNNNNNNNNNNNNNNNNNNNNNNNNNNNNNNNNNNNNNNNNNNNNNNNNNNNNNNNNNNNNNNNNNNNNNNNNNNNNNNNNNNNNNNNNNNNNNNNNNNNNNNNNNNNNNNNNNNNNNNNNNNNNNNNNNNNNNNNNNNNNNNNNNNNNNNNNNNNNNNNNNNNNNNNNNNNNNNNNNNNNNNNNNNNNNNNNNNNNNNNNNNNNNNNNNNNNNNNNNNNNNNNNNNNNNNNNNNNNNNNNNNNNNNNNNNNNNNNNNNNNNNNNNNNNNNNNNNNNNNNNNNNNNNNNNNNNNNNNNNNNNNNNNNNNNNNNNNNNNNNNNNNNNNNNNNNNNNNNNNNNNNNNNNNNNNNNNNNNNNNNNNNNNNNNNNNNNNNNNNNNNNNNNNNNNNNNNNNNNNNNNNNNNNNNNNNNNNNNNNNNNNNNNNNNNNNNNNNNNNNNNNNNNNNNNNNNNNNNNNNNNNNNNNNNNNNNNNNNNNNNNNNNNNNNNNNNNNNNNNNNNNNNNNNNNNNNNNNNNNNNNNNNNNNNNNNNNNNNNNNNNNNNNNNNNNNNNNNNNNNNNNNNNNNNNNNNNNNNNNNNNNNNNNNNNNNNNNNNNNNNNNNNNNNNNNNNNNNNNNNNNNNNNNAUCUUUUUGUUUUGUACACACACAAUUGGAAUGAAUAAAAUCACUUUAUAAUAUAUUCUCUCAUUUUAUUCUUUAUCUUGCAUUGCUUCUUUAUUUGUAUUGCUGGCUAAUAGUUUUUUUUUUGUUUUUUAUAAGGCUACCUCAUCUUAAAAAAAAUCAAUUCAUAUUUUUUAUCAGUUUCAUCAAGUGUAAAGUAAGAAAAAAGGAUAAUACUAAAUUAUUUUUUUACAGCCGCGUGAAAUGCGGUUAUAUUUUCUAGUUAUAUAUAGCCAAAGUGUCCGCCCACGUCUACGAAGCCAAAUUAAGCCAUUAGUUGCUCAUCCUCAGGAGCUGGCCACUUUAUAAAACUAAAAUCAUUUAAUCCUCUUUAUCUGCAUGUGUAUGGAUGAAUUAAUUAAUUGGCUUCGGUUUCCUCAGCUUAAAUUCGCAUGCAUGUAUGCUUAGUUGCUCCCAAUAUCAAUUAUUUUUUAAUGCUUUGUAAAUUGAGCUUUUUCAUUUUUUUAUUCAUAAUCUCUAAUUAAUUUCUUAUUUAAUAAAAUAAUUUUAAUUAAUUAAAAAUAAAAAAUAAAAAAACUAAAAAAUAUAAAAUAAAGCGUGAAAUAUCUAGAUAAAUUAUAUCCAUCAUCAUUCUAAAAUCACGCCACUAUAGAAUUUUUCUUAAAUUAAUUGUAUUCUCUUGAAAUUGAACGGUUGACCUCAAUAACAAAUUUUGUCAGUGAUAAAAUCAUAUGAACUAUAUACGAAUAUUUCAUUUAUAUGCAGUAACCUUUACGCUAUACUACUAAAUUACAUAUCCUUAAGUAUUAUUCAUUUAAAUAAAAUAUAAUAACUAGUUAAGUACUUGGACUUCGUUUAAAAUUCAUGUGAUGAGUUAUAAAAAAUUACCUAAAGAAAUCGGUUUCUUGCUUUGUGAUUUUAAUUAAGCAUCUGAAUUCAGUGCUGAGCUGACCUGUAUUCAAUUCUUCACAAUCUUUUGUAACAUGUAAAUAUAUAGUAAUAUACGGUUAAUAUUUAAUUAGUUUUAUAUUCUCAUCUAAUAACUACAAAUUAUAUCUUUCUAAAAGGUUAGUAAAAAGGUCAGCUCAAUAAUAAAAUAAAUAUUAUUAUAUUAAUAUCUAAAGGAAUUUUUGCAUUGAUAUCUCUAAGAUUAAGGUUGCGUUUGUUCUUUUAUCUGAAAUCUAAACAUAUUUGAAUUUAUCUGAAGUCUGAAUAGGUUUGAAUGAAAAUGUCUGAAUGAUAUAUUUUUUUUCUUUUUCAAAAUCUGAAGAGAAAAACUUACAAGCUAGUAGUUUGACAUAAUAUUGGAAAUACAUGAAUUGUUAAGGGUAUUUUGAGAUUUGAAAUUAAAAUUUUCUAUUUAGACUUCAGAUUUCAUAUACAAGUGGAUUUUUUCUACUUUUUCUAUUUAGAUAGAAUUUUCUGAAAAUAAGUGAUAAGUUAAAAAAAAAAAGUAAAAUAAACAAAUGUUUGAAAAAAAAAGUUAAACGUAGAUUUCAGACCAAAAAACAAACAACACCUAAGCCUAAAAUCAACGACACCCUAACAGUUUGAUAUUUUAAUCUCUACCGUUACAAUAUUACAUUAAACUGAUUUAAACGUUCUACAUCAACAUAACUGUUGAAAUAAUACAUUUAUUAUUCUAAGACAUUUUUUUCCUUAGUUUUCUUUCUCUCUUUUUUUUUUCCAAUGAAACUUUUUAUGGUUUAAUUUUUGUUGAAUACGUUUGGCUAAAUGUUAUGACAUUCAUCUUGUAGGAUUGAAUUUCUUUUAUUUGGAAUUAAGAUUUAUUUUGAGAUAACUGUAGAUGAGAAACUGAGAGUAACCGGGGGCGGGGCAGCGGUGGUGUUAGAUGCUGGGGCGGGGCUAUGGGGAAGGAAAAAAAAAGCUUUCUCCUCGCACCAUCACUUGAAGAUAGGGAUGAUAAUCUGGGUUAUGAUUUAUUUAUUCGAUCCAAUUCGAUGAGAAUUAAAUGAGUUUGGAUUUGAAAAAAAAAUUAAUUUAUUUAAUAAAUGAGUGAAUUCAAUUUGAUUUAAUUUACUAAUUAAAUGAAUUGAAUUCAAAUUUGAGGGAGUUGAUUUGUUUAUUCAUUUAGGAUUCGUUUUACAAAUAAGUCAUAAAUAAAUACAAUUCAUUCGUUUAUUAUUCAUUCAAUUAAAAUAUUUAUUUAUCCUUAAAUUUGCAUGGAAAAAUGUUAAACUUUGAAAGUUAAUAUGGUAAUUAUCAAUUAGAAUAAGACAAAGUAUAUAAGUGAAAAGGCAUAGCCAGCCCCAAUCUCUUCUCUUAGGCUCUCAGCCCUCUCUUAGUCUCUUCUCUUGGUCUUUGCAAUUUCUCUUGCUUGGUUGAUCCCAGGCUAUGUUAUUAGCUAGUCCAUCAGCUCAACUUGUCAACUGUUAUUAUCAUUCGGAUUACUACCAAAACAAGGUAAUAUUGACGUUUUCCGAGCCGCACCUUUAUUUUUGCACAUUCUUGUUUGAGGGAGGGAGGUAAAUUGUAGGUAUAGGAGGUUUCUUUUUUUUUUUUGUAAACAAAGGCAGUGGUUUUGCUCGUCGUUGUACAUGUAAAUGAAUAACAACGAGGAAAAGGGAAAAAGGAGUAUUUUCACCUUUGGGGAGGAGAAAAGAGGGAAAAUGUUAGGUAGAUUUUAUAGCAUUUUUAGUUUUAUGUUUGUUUAUGACGUUGGGGGUGUUUACAUAAAGAUAAAUGGUUUCUUGAAGAAGUUGUGGGCGUAGUUUGUAAUUAUGGAAAUGGUUUUGGAUGAACUCUUCACCUAAUAUAUAUAAACCGUUCUCAAUUCUUUAUACGAGGUUUUGUUGAUUGUCUCAAAAAAAAAAGUUUUAAGUUUUUGUUUUUAUUUUUUUCCUUUUCGUUGUUUGAAAAUGGUACUUCGUUUUAUUUUGUAAUGUGUUGAUUGCCCUGUAAUCAUUUCCUGAAGGUGGAAAGGGUCACAUAAAAAACACUAUUGAACCAGAAAUGGUACUUGAUUUUAUCUUACUUUUUUUUUUUGGUUUUGUAGGUUUAAUUAUUAUUUCCUUAACAGUACUACGAAUUUAAUAUAUAUUUGAUACUUUAAAAUAUUACAAUGACUCUUAUUAUUGUUGCGGCAGGUUAAUCUCACUACAUUUACAUAUUUAUGUGUAGGAUUUUUAUUUUCAACGUGACGAAGAUAGAAUGAAGAGAUUAAAGAAAUCACUUUGGUUUAUAAUUUGAAUUUGAAUUGUUGUUAUUUAUAUUGUUAAGAAUUAGUAAUUUAAUGUUUGGAUGACUGUAUAUUUUAAUCUUAUAAUACGGUUUGGAUUAUUUACUUAAUUUUUAUUUAUUAAUUAUAUUUUAAAAUCAAAUUCAUAUUCAAUUCAAUUAGUUAUGAAUUCAUUUAUUAUAAGAUAAACAAAUAGUAAAUGAAUUUAGAUUCGAUUCGAAUUGUUUAUUAGUUCUACUAAACGAAUUAAAUAAAUUAAAUCGGAUAUUCAUUUAAUAAAUGAAUCGAAUCUGAAUUUUGAAAUUUUAACUCGUUUAAUAAGAGAAUCAAUUCCAAAUCAACAAAGUUUUAACCGAAUUCGUUUAAGAUUUGAUUCAAAUUUCAUUUCGUUUUCUUAGCUCAACCUAAAUACUCUUCCAUCUAAUCCAAUUAGAUACCACCACGAAUACAAUUACUACUGGAUCAAGAUUUCAAAAAAUAAACCAGAUAAGCGGAAACUAACAGGAGUAAAUAAUUAAAUUGAUAUCAUAAGUAGGAUGACAGACCAUUCAAGGUUGGAUGACAGACCAUUCAAGGUUGAUUUAUUUCUUUCUUAUGAUGCAUUAAGCAUCUCUUGAUUUAUUAUACAUAGGACUCGCACACGGUGCAUGCAAGGAAGCAACUGAAGCGAGGCAGUUAUAUAUCCUGCUUUAGUUCUGAGGUUCAGCCUCAGUUUGGGCAUUGACCGCCUCACCGGCAUAGGAACAACACCUGCAACCUCUCCCAUAAUAACCACGGCCACAGCAACCGUAGCGGCAAUAUCCUCCACCAUGACCACGGCCACCUCCGCCAUACCCACCACGUCCAGGAUAUCCUCCGUAGCCACCACGGCCGCCACCUGGGUAUCCACCAUAGCCACCGCGGCCGCCGCCUGGGUACCCUCCAUAUCCACCAUUAUACUUGGCAUCAUCUACUCCAUUAGUCUCUCCAGCU
rnacentral:lncRNA from 1 species